rnacentral:rRNA from 1 species
AUAGAGUCAAGUGAAUAAGUGCAUCAGGCGGAUGCCUUGGCGAUGAUAGGCGACGAAGGACGUGUAAGCCUGCGAAAAGCGCGGGGGAGCUGGCAAUAAAGCUAUGAUUCCGCGAUGUCCGAAUGGGGAAACCCACUGCAUUCUGUGCAGUAUCCUAAGUUGAAUACAUAGGCUUAGAGAAGCGAACCCGGAGAACUGAACCAUCUAAGUACCCGGAGGAAAAGAAAUCAACCGAGAUUCCGCAAGUAGUGGCGAGCGAACGCGGAGGAGCCUGUACGUAAUAACUGUCGAGAUAGAAGAACAAGCUGGGAAGCUUGACCAUAGCGGGCGACAGUCCCGUAUUCGAAAUCUCAACAGCGGUACUAAGCGUACGAAAAGUAGGGCGGGACACGUGAAAUCCUGUCUGAAUAUGGGGGGACCAUCCUCCAAGGCUAAAUACUCAUCAUCGACCGAUAGUGAACCAGUACCGUGAGGGAAAGGCGAAAAGAACCCCGGGAGGGGAGUGAAACAGAACCUGAAACCUGAUGCAUACAAACAGUGGGAGCGCCCUAGUGGUGUGACUGCGUACCUUUUGUAUAAUGGGUCAACGACUUACAUUCAGUAGCGAGCUUAACCGGAUAGGGGAGGCGUAGGGAAACCGAGUCUUAAUAGGGCGAUGAGUUGCUGGGUGUAGACCCGAAACCGAGUGAUCUAUCCAUGGCCAGGUUGAAGGUGCCGUAACAGGUACUGGAGGACCGAACCCACGCAUGUUGCAAAAUGCGGGGAUGAGCUGUGGGUAGGGGUGAAAGGCUAAACAAACUCGGAGAUAGCUGGUUCUCCCCGAAAACUAUUUAGGUAGUGCCUCGAGCAAGACACUGAUGGGGGUAAAGCACUGUUAUGGCUAGGGGGUUAUUACAACUUACCAACCCAUGGCAAACUCAGAAUACCAUCAAGUGGUUCCUCGGGAGACAGACAGCGGGUGCUAACGUCCGUUGUCAAGAGGGAAACAACCCAGACCGCCGGCUAAGGUCCCAAAUGAUAGAUUAAGUGGUAAACGAAGUGGGAAGGCACAGACAGCCAGGAUGUUGGCUUAGAAGCAGCCAUCAUUUAAAGAAAGCGUAAUAGCUCACUGGUCGAGUCGUCCUGCGCGGAAGAUGUAACGGGGCUCAAAUCUAUAACCGAAGCUGCGGAUGCCGGUUUACCGGCAUGGUAGGGGAGCGUUCUGUAGGCUGAUGAAGGUGCAUUGUAAAGUGUGCUGGAGGUAUCAGAAGUGCGAAUGUUGACAUGAGUAGCGAUAAAGCGGGUGAAAAGCCCGCUCGCCGAAAAGCCCAAGGUUUCCUACGCAACGUUCAUCGGCGUAGGGUAAGUCAGCACCUAAGGCGAGGCAGAAAUGCGUAGUCGAUGGGAAACAGGUUAAUAUUCCUGUACUUGAUUCAAAUGCGAUGUGGGGACGGAGAAGGUUAGGUUGGCAAGCUGUUGGAAUAGCUUGUUUAAGCCGGUAGGUGGAAGACUUAGGCAAAUCCGGGUUUUCUUAACACCGAGAAGUGAUGACGAGUGUCUACGGACACGAAGCAACCGAUACCACGCUUCCAGGAAAAGCCACUAAGCUUCAGUUUGAAUCGAACCGUACCGCAAACCGACACAGGUGGGCAGGAUGAGAAUUCUAAGGCGCUUGAGAGAACUCGGGAGAAGGAACUCGGCAAAUUGAUACCGUAACUUCGGGAGAAGGUAUGCCCUCUAAGGUUAAGGACUUGCUCCGUAAGCCCCGGAGGGUCGCAGAGAAUAGGUGGCUGCGACUGUUUAUUAAAAACACAGCACUCUGCCAACACGAAAGUGGACGUAUAGGGUGUGACGCCUGCCCGGUGCCGGAAGGUUAAUUGAAGAUGUGCAAGCAUCGGAUCGAAGCCCCGGUAAACGGCGGCAGUAACUAUAACGGUCCUAAGGUAGCGAAAUUCCUUGUCGGGUAAGUUCCGACCCGCACGAAUGGCGUAACGAUGGCCACACUGUCUCCUCCCGAGACUCAGCGAAGUUGAAGUGGUUGUGAAGAUGCAAUCUACCCGCUGCUAGACGGAAAGACCCCGUGAACCUUUACUGUAGCUUUGCAUUGGACUUUGAAGUCACUUGUGUAGGAUAGGUGGGAGGCUUGGAAGCAGAGACGCCAGUCUCUGUGGAGUCGUCCUUGAAAUACCACCCUGGUGUCUUUGAGGUUCUAACCCAGACCCGUCAUCCGGGUCGGGGACCGUGCAUGGUAGGCAGUUUGACUGGGGCGGUCUCCUCCCAAAGCGUAACGGAGGAGUUCGAAGGUUACCUAGGUCCGGUCGGAAAUCGGACUGAUAGUGCAAUGGCAAAAGGUAGCUUAACUGCGAGACCGACAAGUCGGGCAGGUGCGAAAGCAGGACAUAGUGAUCCGGUGGUUCUGUAUGGAAGGGCCAUCGCUCAACGGAUAAAAGGUACUCCGGGGAUAACAGGCUGAUUCCGCCCAAGAGUUCAUAUCGACGGCGGAGUUUGGCACCUCGAUGUCGGCUCAUCACAUCCUGGGGCUGUAGUCGGUCCCAAGGGUAUGGCUGUUCGCCAUUUAAAGUGGUACGUGAGCUGGGUUUAAAACGUCGUGAGACAGUUUGGUCCCUAUCUGCAGUGGGCGUUGGAAGUUUGACGGGGGCUGCUCCUAGUACGAGAGGACCGGAGUGGACGAACCUCUGGUGUACCGGUUGUAACGCCAGUUGCAUAGCCGGGUAGCUAAGUUCGGAAGAGAUAAGCGCUGAAAGCAUCUAAGCGCGAAACUCGCCUGAAGAUGAGACUUCCCUUGCGGUUUAACCGCACUAAAGGGUCGUUCGAGACCAGGACGUUGAUAGGUGGGGUGUGGAAGCGCGGUAACGCGUGAAGCUAACCCAUACUAAUUGCCCGUGAGGCUUGACUCUAU